AGAUCAACAGAGGAAUAAGGGAGUUGAGUUCAGUGGAGAAGGUGGUCAUGAGGAUGUCAGCUUGUGCAUCAAGAUAAAUUAUGGUUUCCACAGAAGAGAGCUGUGCAAUUUGGUUUUGCACCCCCAGCAGAAACAACAAUAAAUCAAGUACUACGCAUUAAUUUUCUAAGACACUGGAACAUGGUCUGCUUAUUCCUCUGGCAGGAUCUGCUUGAAACCAAGAGCAGUGUUUCCAUGCUUGCUUACUUGGCUCAGACACCUGGAAGAAAAGAGCACUCAUUUGGAACAAUAGCUUCCGGAAGAAGUACCAGAAAUGCAAGGCAGAUGGACAGUCUCUUCCUUGGCUAUGCUUUGUGUUAACAAGGAUUGAUGGAAGGCAAGAGAAGACAUUUCUUACCAAGUGUGGGGUAUCUUUGCAAAGGAUACAAGAGCUUUGCUGCUCAGUGAGAAACUGGCCUGCAGAGACCAAAUUGACAAUGAGAGAAUCUGCAUGAAUCCUAUAAUUUAGUAAAAUAUGCACACAACUGGAAUCAAAACCAACCUUGUAUACGUAGAGAAGAAAGUGAUCCUGUGCUCUGAGGAAUGUAAAUAUCCUUGACUGGACUACCCCAAAUCAAGUUAAAUCAUCAAAUUGAUUUGUAGGAAACAGGGACAUAUGGGGAGUAGAAGAGAAGUCAGUUUUUGGAUCUCAAUUCUCCCUACCCACCAUGUCUCGCUAUCUCUAUUUUAUAUCUGUAGCCUGGCGGUAAGAAGAAAAUGUCUUGGAAAGGUGUUUUGUUCCUCUAUCACUUUUCCAUUGAACAUUGCUGUACUCAUUCAGUAUGACUUUUAUUUGCCAAAUAUAUUUGA